rnacentral:misc_RNA from 1 species
UUUCCGUAGGUGAACCUGCGGAAGGAUCAUUAUUGUAUAACCGAGGUGCGAGGGCUGUCGCUGACCCGGAAGCUCGUGCACGCCCGAGUGCCCUCACACACAUCCAUCUCACCCCUAUUUGCACCACCGCGUGGGUCCCCCUUUGGCUUGUUCGGAGGGGGGCUUACGUUUUCACACAAACUUUGUAUGCAGUGUAGAAUGUAUCUUUUGUUUUUGCGAACACGCAAUCAAUACAACUUUCAACAACGGAUCUCUUGGCUCUC